rnacentral:rRNA from 1 species
CUGGGAGGACCAUCUCCUAAGGCUAAAUACUCUCUAGUGACCGAUAGUGAACCAGUACCGUGAGGGAAAGGUGAAAAGCACCCCGGAAGGGGAGUGAAAUAGAACCUGAAACCGUGUGCUUACAAGUAGUCAGAGCCCGUUAAUGGGUGAUGGCGUGCCUUUUGUAGAAUGAACCGGCGAGUUACGAUUUGAUGCAAGGUUAAGCAGUAAAUGUGGAGCCGUAGCGAAAGCGAGUCUGAAUAGGGCGUUUAGUAUUUGGUCGUAGACCCGAAACCAGGUGAUCUACCCUUGGUCAGGUUGAAGUUCAGGUAACACUGAAUGGAGGACCGAACCGACUUACGUUGAAAAGUGAGCGGAUGAACUGAGGGUAGCGGAGAAAUUCCAAUCGAACCUGGAGAUAGCUGGUUCUCUCCGAAAUAGCUUUAGGGCUAGCCUCAAGUGAUGAUUAUUGGAGGUAGAGCACUGUUUGGACGAGGGGCCCCUCUCGGGUUACCGAAUUCAGACAAACUCCGAAUGCCAAUUAAUUUAACUUGGGAGUCAGAACAUGGGUGAUAAGGUCCGUGUUCGAAAGGGAAACAGCCCAGACCACCAGCUAAGGUCCCAAAAUAUAUGUUAAGUGGAAAAGGAUGUGGCGUUGCCCAGACAACUAGGAUGUUGGCUUAGAAGCAGCCAUCAUUUAAAGAGUGCGUAAUAGCUCACUAGUCGAGUGACACUGCGCCGAAAAUGUACCGGGGCUAAACAUAUUACCGAAGCUGUGGAUUGUCCUUUGGACAAUGGUAGGAGAGCGUUCUAAGGGCGUUGAAGCAUG